AGGGAAGCGACGUCUCUUCGGCAGGGGCGGGAAGGAGAACUUCGUAGGGCGCCCGUCUCAGGCCUCCCACAGGUCGGAUCCACAGGUCGCCAGGAUGACAGGAGAUUCCUUUGAGAGGGAGUCGAUCGACCUGGAGGAAGACUCCGAAUUCCUCUAAAGACUCGAGGGGCGAAAGUGGUCGAGAGUCCGCACCGCAUGGCGAAAAAGGUCGAGCAAUGGGACCACGACGAGAGAGAAAAGUCACUCGUCGAGGGAGCGAGGCGCGCGCGUACUCACGGCGAAAGUGGUCGAGA
rnacentral:lncRNA from 1 species